AGCAGCCGCGGUAAUUCCAGCUCCAAUAGCGUAUAUUAAAGUUGUUGCAGUUAAAAAGCUCGUAGUUGAAUUUCGGGAUUAGUAAGUUGGUCGUGCCUCUGGCAUGUACUGGCUUUACUGGUUCCUCCUUCUUGAAGAACUGUAAUGUCAUUAAUUUGGUGUUGCAGGGAAACAGGACUGUUACUUUGAAAAAAUUAGAGUGUUUAAAGCAGGCUAACGCUUGAAUACAUUAGCAUGGAAUAAUGAAAUAGGACGUUUGAUCCUAUUUUGUUGGUUUCUAGGAUUGACGUAAUGAUUAAUAGGGAUAGUUGGGGGCAUUAGUAUUCAAUUGUCAGAGGUGAAAUUCUUGGAUUUAUUGAAGACUAACUACUGCGAAAGCAUUUGCCAAGGAUGUUUUCAUUAAUCAAGAACGAAAGUUAGGAGAUCGAAGACGAUCAGAUACCGUCGUAGUCUUAACCAUAAACUAUGCCGACUAGGGAUCGGAUGAUGUUAAUUUUUUAAUGACUCA
rnacentral:rRNA from 1 species